rnacentral:antisense_RNA from 1 species
GGUGGGGAAGGCCGCGGGCGGGGGUGGUCCCUCCGGGGACGGGGCGGGUGGGGGCACCGCGGGCGAGAUCGCUGCCUGCAGAGGAGGCACCAGGCCCCGCUAGCAGGUCGGGGUCCCAGGCAGGCGCAGGUGCCCCCCGGCCUCUCAAGCAGGGACUGCGGCGAGCUCAGACGCGGCUGACGGGCAGAGACCCGCGCUUGGGCUCAGUGCGUGUGAGGUGGGCCUCGGGCUGCGGAGGAGGGCGGCGCCCCGUGGCUCCUCGCGCUGCUGCGAGCAGGGCCGCCUGGCAGGGGCGGGGGCCGGUGGGCGGGAGUGUCGGGGGAAGGCCGCGGACUCUUCCCGUGCCGCUGAGCAGUGGACAGCGGGGACUGGAGACCCCCAGGCCUGCACCAGCACAGCUGAAGGGGACAAAGACCCCAACCUCAUCCACUGGGCCUCCCCUCAACCAGGGCCACAACCUCAAGGGGCCAUGCCACCCCCAACGCCUAUUUCCCACCUUCUACUCUCUCCACACCCUGGGACACCACCCGCCUCUCUCAGCUGACGUUUUCCUUCUCGUUUUGUGUGCAUGCUGCUUGUGUGAGAAAGUGGACACACAGUAAGUGCAGCUUCCAGAUGCGUCGCCACCUGCCCUCCGUGCCACGCGCUUCCCCCUACCUAGGGGAGCCUCCACCAGACAGGGAACCCACGCCUUCCCACCCUUGUCUCUCCCUCCCACUUCACCUGUCCGCGUCGUUCCUGGAGCCCUUUCUUUCUGGCACGAGAUGCUCCAGGGCCCUGUUGUAUUCUCCCUGCCCCAGCCUGAACCCAGCUAUUUCUGCUGGCAGCCUGGUUCAUUGUGGGAGAAUGUCAUGCAGAGCCCGGGAUCUGGCUCCGGAUGUGCUCAUUGCUACUGGGGUGUCAUUGCA